rnacentral:snRNA from 1 species
UCAUUUUAGCAAUUCAUAUACUCAAAUUGGAAUGAUACAGAGACCAUUAGGCACGACACCUCUGCAAAGAUGAUGCACAAAUUCAGAGUGUUCCAUAUUUAA